CCUGAAGUCAUAUCCGACUCCGAGGGAAAAAUAAGAAGUCGAACAAGCUUGCGGCAAUAGCUUUUUGUUAGUUUAGGGCUGCAGCGAAAAUGGCGGAGAAUGAAAGAGACAACGAUAAGCUAACAACUUUCGAGAAAACCGGAAUAUACCGGUUCGAGAAAUCGAACGCAGUCUUCAUAGACCCGGUCCGAGUGCUGAACCGGCAUUACACCCGGUUCAAGCUCUCUCCAUCUGCUUACUACUCUCGUUUCUUCGAUUCAGCGAAUUCAAAUUCACAGAGUGUUUGUAGAAAGAGGAAACGGAAGGCCAAAACGACGUCGCGGCCUCUUAAUGAGAAAGAGCAGCUCGCUAAUCAGCGUCAUCUGGAGGCUAGGGUGUUUAUGUUGAAGGCACAUGAGGAUUUACUUGGAAACAAUGACAUUUUAGAAUUUUUAAGAAAUUUGAGAGGUGAUGAAGCUGCGGAAGGGGCAAGUGUUGAGCAGUCUUUUGUAGAGUUAGGAACUGUUUGGCAAGCUCAUAUGUAUGAGAUCACUCUAAAUCAUUGUCAUGGUGAUCGUUCGAAUAAUGAAUCUCAAAAUGGAGGUUCCUGCCGCAUCCAGUCUUGUGAACCCAAAACGUUUCUUCUUUUCGAGAACUUGGUUGUUAAUGAGACAAGCAAUGAUGCGGAGGCUAUAUUUUUGAACAACAAAUACAUAUUACCUAAAGAGAGCAGUUUCUUUAUGUCUGAUUUGGGGAAGAUUCACAACCUGAUUCCUGCUGAUUCUGAUCGUGGUUUCAAUCUUAUUGUAAUUGAUCCACCAUGGGAAAAUAGCAGUGCUCGUCAAAAACUUAAGUACCAAACUUUGCCUAACAGGUUCUUUUUAUCUCUUCCUAUUAAGAAGCUAAGUCAUACUGAGGGAGCAUUAGUUGCUUUGUGGGUAACCAAUAGAGAGAAGUUACGAGCUUUUGUUGAGAAUGAACUGUUCCCCAAAUGGGGAGUCAAAUAUAUGGCUACCAUGUACUGGUUAAAGGUGAAAGCAGAUGGCUUAUUGAUUGGUGACUUGGAUCUCUUUCAUCAUAGACCAUAUGAGUGCCUACUCCUAGGUUACUGUGUGAAGGAGGCUGUAUACUGUGAUCGAUAUUUUGGCUUAAAGCCUAUACCUGACAAUCAAGUCUUCAUUAGCAUUCCUGGAGAUUACUCAAGAAAACCUCCGAUUGGAGAGUUGCUAAAGGAAUAUGCACCUGGUUUUGAGCCUCGAUGUGCAGAGCUAUUUUCUAGAGAGAUGCUAGCUGGAUGGAGUUCUUGGGGAAAUGAACCCCUGCACUUUCAGGCUUCAAGUUACUUUAAGUAGGAGGACGUGGAUUUGAUGCUUUUCGUGAGAAUGUUGCCUUACAAUAUUUCCUUGGACCCAGAGCAAACCUCACAUUCUAUCUGAAAGCAGUUAAACUUUUGACAUACUUUUUAAACAGGGUAUUGUAAGUCAGAGUACACUUGUCUUUGUAAUUUGUCUUCAGCCGGAGAUGCACAGCAAAGAUUAGUCUCAUAAUGGUUAAUUGGUUGUGUAUCUAUGUUUUAGUUGACACAAGCAUAAAGGGCUAAAGCACGACAUAGUGAGCAAUCGAAGCUUGAAAGUGUCGAGGCGGAUGUCAAAUCUUCCCUAGUCUGCUGAGACGUGAAAAAGGGCAGUGUUCCAUGGUUCGCAGAAAUUGGAGACCAGAAUUGCUGGAGCAGACUUUUGUCGUUCUGCAAAAUAUCAUUUUUACUACUGAUAUUUAUACCUUUUGUUACAUUUGGUUCUCGACUUAUGUUCCCUGCUCUGCUGAAACUUAGCAUCUAUAUUUAAGAACAGGAAUGACUUCAGUGAGAACUCAAAAGAUGA